GUGGGGAAUAUUGGACAAUGGGCGCAAGCCUGAUCCAGCAAUUCCGCGUGAGCGAAGAAGGCCUUCGGGUUGUAAAGCUCUUUCGGCGGGGACGAUAAUGACGGUACCCGCAGAAUAAGCACCGGCAAACUUCGUGCCAGCAGCCGCGGUAAUACGAAGGGUGCAAGCGUUAAUCGGAAUUACUGGGCGUAAAGCGCGCGCAGGCGGGAUAUCAAGUCUGUCUUAAAAGUGCGAGGCUCAACCUCGUGAGGGGACAGAAACUGGUAUUCUUGAGUGUCGGAGAGGAAAGUGGAAUUCCAAGUGUAGCGGUGAAAUGCGUAGAGAUUUGGAAGAACACCAGUGGCGAAGGCGACUUUCUGGACGAUGUCUGACGCUGAGGCGCGAAAGCUAGGGGAGCGAACGGGAUUAGAUACCCUGGUAGUCC
rnacentral:rRNA from 1 species